rnacentral:rRNA from 1 species
UACGGAGGAUGCAAGCGUUAUCCGGAAUGAUUGGGCGUAAAGCGUCCGCAGGUGGCUGUGUAAGUCUGCUGUCAAAGAGCAAAGCUCAACUUUGUAAAAGCAGUGGAAACUACACGGCUAGAGUACGUUCGGGGCAGAGGGAAUUCCUGGUGUAGCGGUGAAAUGCGUAGAGAUCAGGAAGAACACCGGUGGCGAAGGCGGCCUGCUGGGCUGUUGCUGACGCUGAGGAGCGAAAGCGUGGGGAGCGAACAGG